UCUCUGUUAGUAUAUCGGUUAGUACACGCGCCUGUCAUAAAUCGUGAUCCGUCAUGUUACGCGCGAAAGCUGGGUUCGACUCCCAGACAGAGAG